CUGCAAAAAUCUCCUACCCUGUCAUGUGCCUCAUCUUCUUUCUCCCCUGCUUUCUCUGUCCCCGAAUCUCUCUCAGGCCAUUGGGUCUUCACCUAUCUGCUUUACACAACGUGAGCUUCGUAUUGGUACGGUCGACGUCAGGAACUUCGAUUUACUACGGGCUGAGUGUUCGUUUUGCUACAAAAUGGAGGAUUGGAUUUGCUGCGGCUGUUUGGCGUGGUUUAUAGCUUUGGUACGAUCAGGCAGCUGAGCAGUCUUCGUUCUGUUUCUUUCUGCGGUUGUUCUCCAUUUCUUCGGCUUGAGUGAAGAAAGCGAGAAUGGAACAACAGACGUACUUCGACUGCCUCGAGCGUCGAAUCAGAGCCGAUUUCUCUGAUCAGCUCAUCUUUUCCCAUGCCAUGCCAUCUCCGAUUCCGCCCUCCCCUUCUCCUCCACCGCCGUCGUUCACGUGUACAAAUACAGCAAGACGGGUAAAAUAUUGAUCAAUGCUACUGUUGUUCAGGGGAUUCCCUGUUUGGGUAAAAUAUGUUCCCGGCAUUGCCUUCAGAACCGACAAUAGGCCCUUCAAGGUUGGUAGUAAGGGCAUAUUUCGUUUGUUUUAGAUACCCUUUAUUUGUUCAUUUGUAUUUUUUAUGCUUUUCUUUUGGGCUGAUUUGGUACAGGUUUUGCGCACAAACACACAACUUAUUUCAUAUCUAAUUUCACUGAAGUGAAUAGAGCUCAAACCAGGAAUAUUUGCUUUAGAGUCUGUGUAGCAUUGUUAUCUACUUCUUCAUAUUUUGGGUUUUUGUAUGGACUGCCAUUAACUGACUAUACUUGGGUUGGAUGAGAUUCUGGGUUUUGUAGGAGAGUAAGUUUUUGAAGUUCCUGACUUCAUGUGGAACUCUCUCUUGCGUCAUGGAAGCUCUAGCUAUCAUGGUCAUUGAGCUUGCCAACAGAGGAUUGAUUAUAUUUGGCGGGGGAGUGAGUGUCGUCUUUUCCUGUGACUUUUGUCAUAGGUAAAAAAAAGGCACUUUCUAUGAUGUGUCUCGAGUUCUUCUCUCCUCAAACUCUUUCAUGAGGUGGAAUUUUGUCAACCAUGUUCCAUCAACCCCUGAUAUGAAUAUCUGGGUACAUAAUCAUGAAAUUUCAAUUUCAAAGCUUUGGGUUGGCCACUUGGUCGUUGUAUAUUCUGCAGGUGUACCUCUGUUGCAAUUCUUUCGUGUUGUCGAUUUUGAUUUAGUUCCAGUUUUCUAAUGGGUGUCGCUUUUGUUUUGGGAUAUGGCAUGGCAAAUUUUCUUUUACUAUGAACUUCUUUGCUACAUUUUGGUAUGAUAUUGUAAUUCCUCUGUUUUUCGUUACUUAUGGUAAUUUUUGGAUAGAAAAAUGGGUCUCCAAUAGACAAGGACAUUCAUACUUGAUGUUGGUUAACAGUCGAGAUGCAAAGCAGGAUGCGAUGUGUUUAGAAGUGUGGAAUUACUUAUGGUAAUUCCAUUUCUUUUUCACAUUCGUGAUUGAAUUUCCAUCAUGACAUCAUAUUUCUGGCAAAGCAUUAUUUGGUGCAUGAGAGACUGACAUUUGUCUUUUGACUCGGUGGAAAUUCAAGCAAUGAAAGGUCAAUGUUAUUAUCGGAAUGCACCACAUACACCAUAAACUUCUUAUGUGCAAGUUAGAAGUUCUUGGUGAGAGUCUCUACCAAUAUUAGCUCUAGAUGGUGAGGAAGGGAAGAUGCUGAUGCAAAAUUUCUGAAAAAAGCGAGACACCAGAUAGUUUCUCUUUUUCCUAAACUUAUAUUUACCGGUCUGGUUUGCUAACAAAGUAUUGGCUCUCUUUCAUUGGUUUUGUGGUGGGGGUCAUUGGGGGAGGAGCUGGAGAGAACUGCGAAGGGUGGUGAUGUAAUUCUUCACUUAAAUUCGACAUUCGAAGAUUUAUACAUGGAAGGUACGAUGAAGCUUCUGACAAGGCACAUGGAACUAUGCGUGCUGUGAUCGCCUUCUUUACACUUUAUUCAACCUGCUAUUUUUGCAAGCCAAAGAAUGUGAGUAAUUUUCUGCAAUUCCCUCUUUGUCCUUCAUGUCUGUGCAAUUCUGUGGUUCGAUAAUUUUCCUUCCCUGGCCUGUGAAGAAGUAAUAAUUUUACUGACCAUCUUCUAGCACAUUUGAAUGCGGAGAAUAAGAUGCACGAGAAAACAAAGGAAGCAGAUUUACUAAAGGUAAGGCUUGAGGAGUUUAUGGUACUAGAGGGGAACCAAUGUUAGAUGCUGUGAGUAAUUAUUAAAAAUUGAUAUUUAGUCCAUUUUUAUUUGUUUAAAUUACUGUCAAAAUUAUUCAACAUUCAUUUAACUUUUGGCAUAAACCUCCUAAUGCAGGGAAAUAAGCUUCAUAAAAAAGUUAUUACAAUAAGAAUAUGAAAGCUUAGAAUAAGAAAUUUGUACUUAUUGAAAUUCAAAGCUAUCUUUGCAAAUCAUUCAUGUUUAUAGUAAAUUCUUUUUGGCUGGAUUACAACUUUUAGUUCUUUUAAUAAUAUGAGGAAACCCAUGUGAAAAAGGAAGAAGAACAUGGUGAGAAGUCCAGGUCUAAAAUGAAUGUUGAUGAGGAAGAUGUAAAGAAAAAGAGAGAGAAAACUGGGAAGAUUUGUUUAUUCAAUAACUUUAAAUGAUUUUUCCUUUUCAUCACUUUUUCCUCUUAUUCUUUUUGUAUUUUUUUACAUUUUGUUCAUUAACUUAAUUUUUGUCUCAACUUUUGUAGGGGGACGGAGGUGGGUUAGUAACUUAGUAAAGGACCGGUAGAGAAUCAUAGGUUCGAUUUCGAAGAAAUUGAUUAUAUACUGCUCACAAUAUGAUUAAUUUUGCCUUCAGGUUUGAUAUUAUAGUAUGGUAAUCUAUCAAUCUGCGACUUAAAACAGCUUAGUACAAAAAAAAAUUGUUAGUUUCAGGAUAUUUGGGUUUAGGGAUUCUAUUUUCUGGUUCUCUCUUUGGAUCUCUGUUCUUCUACGAAGUCAUCAUUAUCAACGAAGGGUCAAUGAAAUCAAAUCUAGAUUGUUUGCUCCAUUGCAAAACCCAUGUUGUCAGCUGUUUUCUGAGUCAUUUUUACUGCCUCAUUUUCGUAGGGAAAUACAGCUGUUUCGAACUUUCGAUUUCUAUUGUUUGGAUUUUUCUAUCUUCUUUGUGCAUAUAUCUGGUUUACCAUUCAUUUUGUUGAUUUGACAAAUGGUUUUGGAUUACAUGUCUACGAAAGAUGAAUAGAGAAAACAACCCCUAUAUAAAACACCAAAUGAUGCAUCAGAUUCAGAUUGUGCCAGACGACUCAGAUCAUCGAAAGUAAAGAUCGAUUGCUUGAGUAGAUCGAAUGGCGGCAAAAGCAAAUGGAAGAGAUACAGAAGUUAACAAUGUUGAAAUACCCGACAGCCAAUGCCCCGCUCGGUCUCUCCUCUCUGCUGGCAUGGAGCGCUAUGCGCAUCUUGAAUAGAUUUCUUUUGGUAUUUUAGUCUCCUAUUUACUGGCAUGAAGCGCCGAAUGGCUAUGUUUUGGUAUUAUUUAAUCUUUAUCGAGGUUGGCUGUUGUGUUUUCUUUGCAGUCAGGUGUCUGAGCUCAUGUUUUUUGUUUAAGCUCUCUUUAAAUAAAUUACAGGAAGAUAGGAGACUAACAUAUGUAUACAGUUUAAUGAAAACAUAGUUGAUAUUCCCUCGAAAA